UACGAAGGGGGCUAGCGUUGCUCGGAAUCACUGGGCGUAAAGGGUGCGUAGGCGGGUCUUUAAGUCAGGGGUGAAAUCCUGGAGCUCAACUCCAGAACUGCCUUUGAUACUGAGGACCUUGAGUUCGGGAGAGGUGAGUGGAACUGCGAGUGUAGAGGUGAAAUUCGUAGAUAUUCGCAAGAACACCAGUGGCGAAGGCGACUUACUGGACACAUAUUGACGCUGAGGUGCGAAAGCGUGGGGAGCAAACAGG
rnacentral:rRNA from 1 species